AGAGUUUGAUCCUGGCUCAGAACGAACGCUGGCGGCAUGCCUAACACAUGCAAGUCGAACGAGACCUUCGGGUCUAGUGGCGCACGGGUGCGUAACGCGUGGGAAUCUGCCCUUGGGUUCGGAAUAACACAGAGAAAUUUGUGCUAAUACCGGAUGAUGUCUUCGGACCAAAGAUUUAUCGCCCAAGGAUGAGCCCGCGUAAGAUUAGCUAGUUGGUGGGGUAAUGGCCCACCAAGGCGACGAUCUUUAGCUGGUCUGAGAGGAUGAUCAGCCACACUGGGACUGAGACACGGCCCAGACUCCUACGGGAGGCAGCAGUGGGGAAUAUUGGACAAUGGGCGAAAGCCUGAUCCAGCAAUGCCGCGUGAGUGAUGAAGGCCUUAGGGUUGUAAAGCUCUUUUACCAGGGAUGAUAAUGACAGUACCUGGAGAAUAAGCUCCGGCUAACUCCGUGCCAGCAGCCGCGGUAAUACGGAGGGAGCUAGCGUUGUUCGGAAUUACUGGGCGUAAAGCGUACGUAGGCGGUUACUCAAGUCAGAGGUGAAAGCCCGGGGCUCAACCCCGGAACUGCCUUUGAAACUAGGUAGCUAGAGUCUUGGAGAGGUUAGUGGAAUUCCGAGUGUAGAGGUGAAAUUCGUAGAUAUUCGGAAGAACACCAGUGGCGAAGGCGACUAACUGGACAAGUACUGACGCUGAGGUACGAAAGCGUGGGGAGCAAACAGGAUUAGAUACCCUAGUAGUCC
rnacentral:rRNA from 1 species